UUUUUUUUUUAGUCGCUGGGGACAGCGAUUUAGAAGAAGGGAGGUAGUGUGACGGUCAGCGUAAAAUCUAACUUGUUCAUUUUUAUAAAACUGACUUGAAACACCAAAAUAUAUAUGUGGGACUGAUUUUUCGAUCUUUUCAUAUAUUUUUGUCUAUUUCACUUGUUAAAUUGCUGAGUUAUACUGUCAGGCUGACUUACCAUUAUUCUAAAUGUCUGUACUCUCGGAAUAAGGCUCUUACUUUAUUUUGAUCAAUAUAUUUCUCUUUGUAUAAAGGUUACAAAUUAUUUGAUGUAAUCGCACUUACUUUGAAAUAGUUAUUGCGAAGAUUUAUGAAUAUUCAUGUGCGUACAUAUUCGCGUGGUUAAAGCAUACGCGCAUAGCGCAUGGUAGUGCGCUGAUAUGUGAUAGCCGAGUUUGAUCGAUGUGGCUAGGCUGUACACUUUGGCAUUAGAUGCGCUGUGAAACUGACCUGUCUGUGAACCUUGUUGAACCGAGAUUUACGACUAUAGACCAUAUCUGCUGUGUGACCUAAUACAUUACUAGUAAUAUGAAUUUCUGGAGGACGAGGCUGAGGGCCUCAGUAACUUAGUCUGUCACCUGUACCUAGUAGUUUAAGAAUAUAUCUAUCUACAUGUAAAGCAGUUGUAACUUAUAUAUAUUGAACAUUUGUAUAUUUAAUAAUUGUAUUCUAUAUAGUUGUACUUUAAAUAUAUUCGUCAUAUUUAUGAACAAAGUAAAUACGAUCUGAUGCUAUUACUUGCAUAAGAUUUAGUCACUUGUAAAUAGAUUCACAAUUCAACAAUUAAUGAUGUACAAAUUAAUAUAAGUAGCUUAUGUAUUUAUGGAGCUGUAACUUACAUGUAUAUUUUAUCUUAGUAACACUUAUUGAUAAUGAUCCCUUAAUAAGCACUGAAUUACAGAGAGCAAGGAACGAAUCCCUAGACAAACCGGUUGUCUUAAGAUUAAAGUACGUUUAGAACUGAUUAGUAAUUCUGGAAGUUAGCAAUAGGAUAGGAAUUGGAAAUUUGAGGCUAUAACCUAUUGUAAAGACCUAAGGAUUAAAGAUCGCAUGGUUAUGCCGACAGAGUGAGCUGCCAUGACGAGAUUAGGGGUGGAUAGACCAGUAAGUAAAAUACCCGUUGAGCGGUGAAUCCGAAUACCAUAAGUUGAUUAUGCCUAGGCAAUAAGAAGGAAGGCAGUUAAGUAUUUGUACUUGAACUUGGAAUGAAGUAAUUAUUGGAUGGCUGCUGGUCAGCCUAGAUUGACCGUAAGAUGAAGUGGCUAUGUUGUGCCCGGAAUAGAAUUACUUUCUCAUGUUUUAGUAGGAAAGAAAAGGUACACUUUGGAAUAGAAUUCAGUUGCUAAUGAUCUAUUAUUGUAACAUCUUAAACCUGUCCCUAUAGAACUCUUUAACAUAAUACUGCAUCUACUAUUAUAGUCUAUACAAUUAAGUUAGUAUCACUUAGGUAAAUGAUUGGUUGUCUGACAAAAGUGACAACACAUCUGUAUAUAAUGUACAUUUGAACUCUUAUACUUAGUAAUUGCAUUGCAUACAUUUUCGAGUUGAAUUACGUCAACGUUGAAUUAGGCAUGAAAGCCUCACUGUUAAUUGAAAUCCAUUAAUAAAGUGUUACUUGUUAUUUGUUCACCUGAA
rnacentral:lncRNA from 1 species